CUGUGAGGCAUGCUGGAGGUAUCAGAAGUGCGAAUGCUGACAUAAGUAACGAUAAAGCGGGUGAAAAGCCCGCUCGCCGGAAGACCAAGGGUUCCUGUCCAACGUUAAUCGGGGCAGGGUGAGUCGACCCCUAAGGCGAGGCCGAAAGGCGUAGUCGAUGGGAAACAGGUUAAUAUUCCUGUACUUGGUGUUACUGCGAAGGGGGGACGGAGAAGGCUAUGUUGGCCGGGCGACGGUUGUCCCGGUUUAAGCGUGUAGGCUGGUUUUCCAGGCAAAUCCGGAAAAUCAAGGCUGAGGCGUGAUGACGAGGCACUACGGUGCUGAAGCAACAAAUGCCCUGCUUCCAGGAAAAGCCUCUAAGCAUCAGGUAACAUCAAAUCGUACCCCAAACCGACACAGGUGGUCAGGUAGAGAAUACCAAGGCGCUUGAGAGAACUCGGGUGAAGGAACUAGGCAAAAUGGUGCCGUAACUUCGGGAGAAGGCACGCUGAUAUGUAGGUGAAGUCCCUCGCGGAUGGAGCUGAAAUCAGUCGAAGAUACCAGCUGGCUGCAACUGUUUAUUAAAAACACAGCACUGUGCAAACACGAAAGUGGACGUAUACGGUGUGACGCCUGCCCGGUGCCGGAAGGUUAAUUGAUGGGGUCAGCGCAAGCGAAGCUCUUGAUCGAAGCCCCGGUAAACGGCGGCCGUAACUAUAACGGUCCUAAGGUAGCGAAAUUCCUUGUCGGGUAAGUUCCGACCUGCACGAAUGGCGUAAUGAUGGCCAGGCUGUCUCCACCCGAGACUCAGUGAAAUUGAACUCGCUGUGAAGAUGCAGUGUACCCGCGGCAAGACGGAAAGACCCCGUGAACCUUUACUAUAGCUUGACACUGAACAUUGAGCCUUGAUGUGUAGGAUAGGUGGGAGGCUUUGAAGUGUGGACGCCAGUCUGCAUGGAGCCGACCUUGAAAUACCACCCUUUAAUGUUUGAUGUUCUAACGUGGACCCGUGAUCCGGGUUGCGGACAGUGUCUGGUGGGUAGUUUGACUGGGGCGGUCUCCUCCUAAAGAGUAACGGAGGAGCACGAAGGUUGGCUAAUCCUGGUCGGACAUCAGGAGGUUAGUGCAAUGGCAUAAGCCAGCUUGACUGCGAGCGUGACGGCGCGAGCAGGUGCGAAAGCAGGUCAUAGUGAUCCGGUGGUUCUGAAUGGAAGGGCCAUCGCUCAACGGAUAAAAGGUACUCCGGGGAUAACAGGCUGAUACCGCCCAAGAGUUCAUAUCGACGGCGGUGUUUGGCACCUCGAUGUCGGCUCAUCACAUCCUGGGGCUGAAGUAGGUCCCAAGGGUAUGGCUGUUCGCCAUUUAAAGUGGUACGCGAGCUGGGUUUAGAACGUCGUGAGACAGUUCGGUCCCUAUCUGCCGUGGGCGCUGGAGAACUGAGGGGGGCUGCUCCUAGUACGAGAGGACCGGAGUGGACGCAUCACUGGUGUUCGGGUUGUCAUGCCAAUGGCACUGCCCGGUAGCUAAAUGCGGAAGAGAUAAGUGCUGAAAGCAUCUAAGCACGAAACUUGCCCCGAGAUGAGUUCUCCCUGACCCUUUAAGGGUCCUGAAGGAACGUUGAAGACGACGACGUUGAUAGGCCGGGUGUGUAAGCGCAGCGAUGCGUUGAGCUAACCGGUACUAAUGAACCGUGAGGCUUAACCU
rnacentral:rRNA from 1 species